AUUGAACGCUGGCGGAAUGCUUUACACAUGCAAGUCGAGCGGCAGCGCGGGGCAACCUGGCGGCGAGCGGCGAACGGGUGAGUAAUACAUCGGAACGUACCCAGUUGUGGGGGAUAGCCCGGCGAAAGCCGGAUUAAUACCGCAUACGACCUGAGGGUGAAAGGGGGGGAUCGCAAGACCUCUCGCAGUUGGAGCGGCCGAUGGCGGAUUAGCUAGUUGGUAGGGUAAAGGCCUACCAAGGCGACGAUCCGUAGCUGGUCUGAGAGGACGACCAGCCACACUGGAACUGAGACACGGUCCAGACUCCUACGGGAGGCAGCAGUGGGGAAUUUUGGACAAUGGGGGCAACCCUGAUCCAGCCAUUCCGCGUGAGUGAAGAAGGCCU
rnacentral:rRNA from 1 species